rnacentral:lncRNA from 1 species
UGACCUCGUGAUCCGCCUGCCUCAGCCUCCCAAAAUGCUGGGAUUACAGCAUGAGCCACUGCGCCCAGCCCUCUUUCUCAUUUUUUAAAGACAGAAUACCAUCUUAUCAAGAUCAAUGCUUCCAAGACACUACGAAUUCACAGAAGAUGUGUCAGUGUUUUUACAAGCAAAAGUCACUGCCAAGGAAUUGUGCUCUGAACCAAGAAAACAGCAGGUUAAGACUUCAGAGAGGAAUGGACCACACAAACAAACCACUUUCAGGUCCUUGGCUCUCUGAACUGUAA